CCUUGACUUGACCUUUGAUAGUGUGUAGCUAUUGUCUGUGUGUGUGUUUUUUGUAACAAAGCUUGAGGGAACACAACAAUAAUAUGAUUUAUGCUUUAUUGAUUUCUCUCUUUGUAGAGAGGUCAGAGGUCGUCUGGAGAGCAGGAGCCCUGCAGCCUGGUGAUGGAGGAUGUACCACCAGCAACCUCCAUGCACAUAUGCCUUCUCUCCAGGCAGUGACGUGGUCAUACUGAUGUGGGCGAUAACCAAGCUGACAAGGCCGCAUACAAAACAGUGAGAUUCGACACUGGAAGUGAACCUACUGAAGACAGAAGUGUUUAGUUGGUGAGCACAUAAAGAUGCAUCUUAUGUUAUAAACAUAAUCAUGUGGAUUAUGUCUGUGUAUUUCUGUUGUAAAAUUCAAUUUUGA